rnacentral:rRNA from 1 species
UACGAAGGGUGCGAGCGUUGUUCGGAGUCACUGGGCGUAAAGGGUGCGUAGGCGGUUAUUCAAGUUAGGUGUGAAAGCCCUGGGCUCAACCCGGGAUGUGCACUUGAUACUGGAUAGCUAGAGAGAGGAAGAGGAUAGCGGAAUUCCUAGUGUAGAGGUGAAAUUCGUAGAUAUUAGGAAGAACACCAGUGGCGAAGGCGGCUAUCUGGUCCUUUUCUGACGCUGAGGCACGAAAGCGUGGGGAGCAAACAGGAUUAGAUACCCUGGUAGUCCACGCCGUAAACGAUGUGUGCUCGCUGUUGGGAGACGAGAGUCUCUCGGUAGCCAAGCUAACGCGGUAAGCACACCGCCUGGGGAGUACGGCCGCAAGGUUAAA